UGGGGAAUAUUGGACAAUGGGGGGAACCCUGAUCCAGCCAUGCCGCGUGUGUGAAGAAGGCCUUAUGGUUGUAAAGCACUUUAAGCGAGGAGGAGGGUACUGGUAUUAAUACUACCAGGUACUGGACGUUACUCGCAGAAUAAGCACCGGCUAACUCUGUGCCAGCAGCCGCGGUAAUACAGAGGGUGCGAGCGUUAAUCGGAUUUACUGGGCGUAAAGCGUGCGUAGGCGGCUAAUUGAGUCGGAUGUGAAAUCCCCGAGCUUAACUUGGGAAUUGCAUUCGAUACUGGUUAGCUAGAGUGUGGGAGGGGAUGGUAGAAUUCCAGGUGUGGCGGUGAAAUGCGUAGAGAUCUGGAGGAAGACCGAUGGCGAAGGCAGCCAUCUGGCCUAACACUGACGCUGAGGUACGAAAGCAUGGGGAGCAAACAGG
rnacentral:rRNA from 1 species